rnacentral:rRNA from 1 species
UACGUAGGCAGCGAGCGUUGUUCGGAAUUACUGGGCGUAAAGAGUGUGUAGGCGGUGCUCUAAGUUCGGUGUGAAAUCUCCCGGCUUAACUGGGAGGGUGCGCCGGAAACUGGAGUGCUCGAACGUGGGAGAGGAAAGCGGAAUUCCUGGUGUAGCGGUGAAAUGCGUAGAGAUCGGAAAGAACACCAACGGCGAAAGCACUCUGCUGGGCCGACACUGACACUGAGAGACGAAAGCUAGGGGAGCGAAUGGG